UACGAAGGGGGCUAGCGUUGCUCGGAAUCACUGGGCGUAAAGCGCACGUAGGCGGCUUUUUAAGUCAGGGGUGAAAUCCUGGAGCUCAACUCCAGAACUGCCUUUGAUACUGGGAAGCUUGAGUCCGGGAGAGGUGAGUGGAACUCCGAGUGUAGAGGUGAAAUUCGUAGAUAUUCGGAAGAACACCAGUGGCGAAGGCGGCUCACUGGACUGGUAUUGACGCUGAGGUGCGAAAGCGUGGGGAGCAAACAGG
rnacentral:rRNA from 1 species